rnacentral:rRNA from 1 species
CAGCCGCCGCGGGAAUACGUAGGUGGCAAGCGUUGUCCGGAAUUAUUGGGCGUAAAGGGCUCGCAGGCGGUUUCUUAAGUCUGAUGUGAAAGCCCCCGGCUCAACCGGGGAGGGUCAUUGGAAACUGGGAAACUUGAGUGCAGAAGAGGAGAGUGGAAUUCCACGUGUAGCGGUGAAAUGCGUAGAGAUGUGGAGGAACACCAGUGGCGAAGGCGACUCUCUGGUCUGUAACUGACGCUGAGGAGCGAAAGCGUGGGGAGCAAACAGGAUUAGAUACCCCAGUAGUCCCUGUCUCUUAUAC